UCUUCGGAGAGUUUGAUCCUGGCUCAGGAUGAACGCUGGCGGCGUGCCUAAUACAUGCAAGUCGAGCGAACUGAUUAGAAGCUUGCUUCUAUGACGUUAGCGGCGGACGGGUGAGUAACACGUGGGCAACCUGCCUGUAAGACUGGGAUAACUUCGGGAAACCGAAGCUAAUACCGGAUAGGAUCUUCUCCUUCAUGGGAGAUGAUUGAAAGAUGGUUUCGGCUAUCACUUACAGAUGGGCCCGCGGUGCAUUAGCUAGUUGGUGAGGUAACGGCUCACCAAGGCAACGAUGCAUAGCCGACCUGAGAGGGUGAUCGGCCACACUGGGACUGAGACACGGCCCAGACUCCUACGGGAGGCAGCAGUAGGGAAUCUUCCGCAAUGGACGAAAGUCUGACGGAGCAACGCCGCGUGAGUGAUGAAGGCUUUCGGGUCGUAAAACUCUGUUGUUAGGGAAGAACAAGUACAAGAGUAACUGCUUGUACCUUGACGGUACCUAACCAGAAAGCCACGGCUAACUACGUGCCAGCAGCCGCGGUAAUACGUAGGUGGCAAGCGUUAUCCGGAAUUAUUGGGCGUAAAAGCGCGCGCAGGCGGUUUCUUAAGUCUGAUGUGAAAGCCCACGGCUCAACCGUGGAGGGUCAUUGGAAACUGGGGAACUUGAGUGCAGAAGAGAAAAAGCGGAAUUCCACGUGUAGCGGUGAAAUGCGUAGAGAUGUGGAGGAACACCAGUGGCGAAGGCGGCUUUUUUUGGUCUGUAACUGACGCUGAGGCGCGAAAGCGUGGGGAGCAAACAGGAUUAGAUACCCUGGUAGUCCACGCCGUAAAACGAUGAGUGCUAAGUGUUAGAGGGUUUCCGCCCUUUAGUGCUGCAGCUAACGCAUUAAGCACUCCGCCUGGGGAGUACGGUCGCAAGACUGAAACUCAAAGGAAUUGACGGGGGCCCGCACAAGCGGUGGAGCAUGUGGUUUUAAUUCGAAGCAACGCGAAGAACCUUACCAGGUCUUGACAUCCUCUGACAACUCUAGAGAUAGAGCGUUUCCCCUUCGGGGACAGAGUGACAGGUGGUGCAUGGUUGUCGUCAGCUCGUGUCGUGAGAUGUUGGGUUAAGUCCCGCAACGAGCGCAACCCUUGAUCUUAGUUGCCAGCAUUCAGUUGGGCACUCUAAGGUGACUGCCGGUGACAAACCGGAGGAAGGUGGGGAUGACGUCAAAUCAUCAUGCCCCUUAUGACCUGGGCUACACACGUGCUACAAUGGAUGGUACAAAGGGCUGCAAGACCGCGAGGUCAAGCCAAUCCCAUAAAACCAUUCUCAGUUCGGAUUGUAGGCUGCAACUCGCCUACAUGAAGCUGGAAUCGCUAGUAAUCGCGGAUCAGCAUGCCGCGGUGAAUACGUUCCCCGGGCCUUGUACACACCGCCCGUCACACCACGAGAGUUUGUAACACCCGAAGUCGGUGGAGUAACCGUAAGGAGCUAGCCGCCUAAGGUGGGACAGAUGAUUGGGGUGAAGUCGUAACAAGGUAGCCGUAUCGGAAGGUGCGGCUGGAUCACCUCCUUU
rnacentral:rRNA from 1 species